rnacentral:rRNA from 1 species
CCUACGGGAGACAGCAGUGAGGAAUAUUGGUCAAUGGGCGCGAGCCUGAACCAGCCAAGUCGCGUGAGGGAAGACGGUCCUAUGGAUUGUAAACCUCUUUUGUCGGGGAGCAAAAGACGCCACGCGUGGCGUUCCGAGAGUACCCGAAGAAAAAGCAUCGGCUAACUCCGGGCCAGCAGCCGCGGUAAUACGGAGGAUGCGAGCGUUAUCCGGAUUGAUUGGGUUUAAAGGGUGCGCAGGCGGAAGAUCAAGUCAGCGGUAAAAUUGAGAGGCUCAACCUCUUCGAGCCGUUGAAACUGGUUUUCUUGAGUGAACGAGAAGUAUGCGGAAUGCGUGGUGUAGCGGUGAAAUGCAUAGAUCUCACGCAGAACUCCGAUUGCGAAGGCAGCAUACCGGCGCUCAACUGACGCUCAUGCACGAAAGUGUGGGUAUCGAACAGGAUUAGAUACCCCAGUAGUC